UUAGAAAUUGCACAUGAAAUUUAUAUGCAAUUGUUUAGGCUGAAACUAUCAAUCGCACAUUGCUAAAAAGAAAAAACAAAGCCCUCCCUUAGCAUCCUCCUAAAACGAUCCUCUCAUAGUGGCAGCAGGUUUUUAGAUCACGGAACAUCAUCUUAUAUGGUUGCAAGACCAAUACAUAACGCAAAAAAAAAUCUACACAACUUUUUUUUUGGAUAGUAUCAAUUUAAAAAAUUACAGUUGAAAAAAUUAUAGUUGCACUCAUUUUGCAGCUGAAAAUUUUAAAACGUUAGCAUGCAAUUAACCCUAAGACAAUAGAAGGCAUAACGAAAACAAAGGAAAGUCAAAGGAAAACAAAAGUUAAAGCAAAAGAAAAAGGAAACCAAAAAAACAUUUUAAAAAAUGAAAAAACUAAACCGUCGCGGAUAGGAAUCAAACUUCCAACCUGUACAUCCUACCAAGACACAAUGGUAGCCACUGCGCCAAUCCAUUCACAAUGAUUUGUUUCAGCUGUUAGGCUAUAUAAAUAUACUAUAUCUAUCUCUGCUCAAACGCCCGCACGAAUCUCAAUGCAUGAUCCGACGGUUUAGAAACAUCGACUGACAAAUGUCGCCUGAGGACUAGCAAAUCCGGUUUUUUUUUGUAGUGAUCGAGAUGAUACUUUUUGAGUUAUCUGAUAAUGACCCAUCCAAGGUCUCAGUUUGCCUUAUCUUCCUGAUCCUUUCAAGGAAGAAGCUGACAAACCAUCAACUGAGUGAGUAUAUCUGUCCUUGGUAACAUUUGUUUUUCAUUUUUAUUUUGUUUACCUAUUGUCUGCUGCAAGAUACACAUUAUUUGUAUGUUAGAUGUCUUCGUGUUAUGUUUGAUGUUUUAUUGCCAACGAUACCUUAAGAUCGUUUGCAUACAAAUUAACAGGAUUGGCUAUAUUACUGUACUUUCUCUUCAUUAAUCGUAGUUACAGGGAAGACAAAUCAUAUAUCA
rnacentral:lncRNA from 1 species